ACACACCUUGAGUGUGUGUUCUGGUCGAGUUCUUCACAGAAGCCAAGAGAAGCUUCUAAGCUCCAACCCUAAUCAACCAAAUUUCAUCAAAUCAAAGGGGCAAAUCGAGUCCAAACAGAAAUCUAAACUCAGAUUAGUGAUCAUCUCCGUGAAAGGAACAUAAGGAACGGUGGUUGAAUCUUCAAGUGGUUAAGUCGGAGCGGACGCGCGCUUGAAGGAUAUGCUUUGAAAGGAAAUAACAUAUGUUGCGUUGCUCUAAUUAGAGAAUUUAAAGCAAGAGGUAUGUAAACGGGUCAAUGCUAUGACCCGAGCCAGGUAC